rnacentral:rRNA from 1 species
GGUGCAUGGUUGUCGUCAGCUCGUGUCGUGAGAUGUUGGGUUAAGUCCCGCAACGAGCGCAAACCCUCGACCUUAGUUGCCAGCAUUCAGUUGGGCACUCUAAGGUGACUGCCGGCUAAAAGUCGGAGGAAGUGGGGAUGACGUCAAAUCAUCAUGCCCCUUAUGACCUGGGCUACACACGUGCUACAAUGGGCGGUACAAAGGGUCGCGAACCCGCGAGGGGGAGCCAAUCCCAAAAAGCCGCUCUCAGUUCGGAUUGCAGGCUGCAACUCGCCUGCAUGAAGCCGGAAUCGCUAGUAAUCGCGGAUCAGCAUGCCGCGGUGAAUACGUUCCCGGGCCUU